rnacentral:tRNA from 2 species
UCCUCGAUAGCUCAGCAGGUAGAGCAAUCGGCUGUUAACCGAUCGGUCGUAGGUUCGAGUCCUACUCGAGGAGCCA